UACGUCCGGACGUAACGGUUAGUUUGUAAUUAGUCGCUCGAGAGACGCUGGCGGCGUGCUUAACACAUGCAAGUCGAGCGGGGAUAGUAAGAAGCUUGCUUUGAACUAUUCUAGCGGCGGACGGGUGAGUAACGCGUGAGCAACCUUUCCUCUACUGGGGAAUAACACAGGGAAACUUGUACUAAUACCGCAUAAGACCACGCUACCGCAUGGUAGAGGGGUCAAAGAUUUAUCGGUAGAGGGUGGGCUCGCGUCCGAUUAGGUAGUUGGUGAGGUAACGGGCCCACCAAGCCGACGAUCGGUAGCCGACCUGAGAGGGUGAUCGGCCACAUUGGGACUGAGACACGGCCCAAACUCCUACGGGAGGCAGCAGUGGGGAAUAUUGGGCAAUGGGGGAAACCCUGACCCAGCAACGCCGCGUGGAGGAAGAAGGUUUCGGAUCGUAAACUCCUGUCCUCAGGGAAGAGUAGAAGACGGUACCUGAGGAGGAAGCCCCGGCUAACUACGUG
rnacentral:rRNA from 1 species